GUCGCACAUCAGCAUCAUCAGAGGAUGAUCAAUAAAAUCGAUUUCUUCAUGAAGACCGUACAGGACCGGCUGUAGAUAGUCUAUAGAGCUGAACAAGUCAAUAUAUAACAAAAACUUUGUCGUCUAGCUCAGGAUUUCUGUGCUUAUAGGCUACAGGAUUAGCACACACACACACACACACACACACAAACACACACACACACACACACACACACACACACACACACACACACAUAGAAAGAGAGAGAGGGAGAGACGUGUGGAGAUACCGACUGGCUGCAACAUCACAUCCACUGGUUUGAUGAGGAUGCUGAAGAUGCUGCGUUACAACUCAGAGCCGAUUUUAAGCGAAUGGAGCCCAGAGAUGUGUAACCACGACUCGUCGUCUUUAGUGUUUCCUCUCACUCGGGCAGAAGCAGCAAUAUGCACGCAGAGGGGUUGGUUUCUGUCUUUGGUUAUCUAGCUGUAUGAGUUUAAAAACAUGUCAUAAAGCUAGAUAACCGAAAGUAGAAAUUAAUCUCAAACUCGCAUUCAAUCCAAUGCCAAAUUAUGCCAAACCGCGCGAUUUAAAGGACCAGUCUAACAGAGCCCUGUUCCAAUCUGCAACAUGCCAUAAUGAAGUAAUGUGUCAUGAACUUAGGCAGCGUGCUGUACAGAAGAAGUGACUGAUACAUAGAUGCUGGGAAGAGAACGCCUUUGUCCCUGACUGCCAUGUCUCUCCUCAUGCCAAGAGAUCCCUGGUGCCAUCUGGGGGAUAUGGGGCACUUUGCCUGUGCCACCGGCGAUGAAGCCCCUUCGUCUCCCUUGAGCCUUGGCACGAUGAAUGAGGAAGGCAGGGAGGCCAUCUUGCGGGAGAUCUCACUGAAACAGCUAAGAUGGCUGGACUGGCACGAGAGUGGAGGAGGGGAGGUAAAGAAAACAAAUGAGCUGGCACCGAUUGCAGUAGAGGCUGCCAUCUUCUUUUGUUAGGAUCGCCAUGUGAACAAACAUCAAACUCGGAGAUGGCCGUGUAUUAAACUGCACAAUCUUGGUGUGGUAACUGCAGCAGAGAACACUGGAAAACAUGAUGCAAAAUGGCCUUGAAAGUUUUUCUUGCCAAGAAAAAAAAAUUGUAUUAAGAAAAUGUGAAUUUUUAACAUUGACAGUCAACUGCAUAUAUUAACACUCACAGAGCCAUAAUCUGUAUUUGUGUAGGAACUCUUGGCUUCCUGUUUCAUUUAAAGAUUAUAUCCUAUGCUGUAAUUUCUUUGUUUUAGAAAACAAAAGCAUUAUAC